rnacentral:rRNA from 1 species
GUGAGGAAUAUUGCGCAAUGGAGGCAACUCUGACGCAGCCAUGCCGCGUGCAGGAAGAAGGCGCUACGCGUUGUAAACUGCUUUUAACCGGGAAGAAACCCCAGGACGUGUCCUGGGUUGACGGUACCGGAGGAAUAAGCACCGGCUAACUUCGUGCCAGCAGCCGCGGUAAUACGAAGGGUGCAAGCGUUAUCCGGAUUCAUUGGGUUUAAAGGGUGCGUAGGCGGAGCGUUAAGUCAUUGGUGAAAUCCUGCAGCUUAACUGUAGACUUGCCAGUGAUACUGGCGCUCUUGAGUGCGCUUGAAGUGGGCGGAAUGUGCCGUGUAGCGGUGAAAUGCUUAGAUAUGGCACAGAACACCAAUUGCGAAGGCAGCUCACUAAGGCGAUACUGACGCUGAGGCACGAAAGCGUGGGGAUCGAACAGGAUUAGAUACCCGUGUAGUCC